ensembl:lncRNA
AGCCAAAAGCAAAAGUGUGCCGGAUGAAAGGCGUGCGAGAAAGAAAACGAGAAAAGGGCUUAAAUGAUUUCUAAGAUGCAAUUUAAUUUUCAAUAUGGGACUAUUAAAUUUUUGAGGCACAUCCACUGUUGAGAUAUGUUUUCGAUUGUGCAAUUUCACAUAACAGAAUGCGGCUGAAAUGCAAAAAUCGCAACAAUGGAGGUGGGGAGAAGCAAUGGCUUUUUCUUCUCUUAUCGAAAUUGCUUUCUGUAGAGUUGUUCCAUUUGAAAUGCAUUUAAUUGCAAAUAAAAAAAGGAGUGGAGAGAAAGCCGUGCGCCUCCUAAGCCUUUCUCAUCUGUUUGGACGCAGGGAGAGAGAGUAUUCAAACGUGGAGCGGCCCAGACAAUAAGAAGAAGCGGGCGUGCUCUGAAUAGCCCAAUCUCUGCGCAGGCCAAUCCGCUGGCGUCCCUCGGCCGGUAAACAGGGGCGGACCUCCCGCCGAAACAGAGAAAGAGCUCAGAAGAGUCGGUGUUUUCCUGCAGAAAGUUUGCGUAACUCUCACUUUGCUUCAUGUAGCAUUGCUCAGACGAUGCACGGAUGCUCUUGGCCUUCUCCCGGAGGAUUGUGGGUAGAUUGCCGACGAUCCCGAGAAGAAGCGAGCGAAGUGAGACCCUUCAAACUUUCUUUGCCAUUCCUCAAUUCUGUUUUCCCCCAAACAAAGAUUUAUACAUAUUUAUAUGAGCCGAUUGACGGGAAGGUGGUCCGGAGGAGGGGAGCAGAAGCGGCGGAACUGCAGAGGUAAACUUUAUGUAAAUGCCAUAAAGUAAUAGACUUGUAGUGCAAAUCACACCAUUUUAUCUUUAAUUUUGCCGAGCCGCCCCUUCCCAGCAUCCUCUCGGCAUCUCUACGGCACGUCCCAUCUCUCCCUCCCCCAAAGUCCUCUUUCCGUGGGCUUAAAGGUGCAUCGGAGAUAUGCAUUUAAGCAUAUUCAGAACACGGGGCGUGAAAUUAAAUGUGUGACAGAGUGGGAAAAAUAUACAGGCACGGGAGAUGCCUUAAAAAUAGUCAUUUAUGCAGAUGGAAAAGGAGGGGAGUUGAAAAUCAUUUGCGACAGGAUGACCCUCUCCGCAAGCUGUCUACCUCUCACUGUUCUCGGCCCUAAUCUCUCGCUGUAUCUUCAUUUUUCAUUGAACUCGCCAGUUUGCUGCUAAGCAGCCUUGUAGAUAAGGCGAAGUGCUAAAAGGAGACAACUGAAGGUGCUCAGUGGGUCCGUUUCUAUUGCACUUUCACCCAAGGCAAUGGGCAGAAUUUAACGGAUUCCUUCCAACAUAUGUUUUUGCCAGAUAAGUAAACAGUGUGUGUCGGCAAGGAAGAAAAAAAAAAGCAUUUGCAAUUUAAUGACAUUACAGCUCCCAGCUUAGCCCUUCUGUGCUGCCAGGCGCCGAGUGGAGAAAAGGAAAGAGCGGAAGAAUGGAACCGGGUGUCAUCAGCGCACAUGUGUGUGUGUGUGUGUUUCCUCUUUUUCCCAUCUCUCUGCUCCUCAUUCUUGUCGCUGCUUCGUUCUCUUCCGCAGACUUUCCUCAAGUUUGUGGCAGAAGCUUUUUUUAGUCUAGGGCUCGAAAACGUUGAUGGGGCCGUGAGAGAAAAUUCUGAAUUUGAGUUCUGGAUCCGGGUCUGGAAUUUGGACUGAACUGGCCACGCCCCACGGGAUGCCGAAGAGGAUUUCCCAAAAAAUGAAGGAAAAUCAUUACAACAAUAUGAGCAAGAAUUAGAGUAGAACUACUUAGGUGUUUGUCCAUUUUAAUUCCAUUUGGUGUCGAUUAGAUAAAAAAAAGUUAUUUCAUUUAAUGUAAUGCUAUUUAAAUCAGAAUCUCUCUAUUAGCCAAGUAUCCAA